AGUCGAGGGGCAGCAUUAUAAAAGCUUGCUUUUAUAGAUGGCGACCGGCGCACGGGUGAGUAACGCGUAUGCAACCUACCUUAUACUGGGGGAUAGCCCAGAGAAAUCUGGAUUAAUACCGCAUAACAAUCAUGAUUCGCAUGUUUUAUGAUUUAAAACUCCGGUGGUAUAAGAUGGGCAUGCGUAGCAUUAGUUAGUUGGUGAGGUAACGGCUCACCAAGACAGUGAUGCUUAGGGGGUCUGAGAGGAUAGUCCCCCACACUGGUACUGAGACACGGACCAGACUCCUACGGGAGGCAGCAGUGAGGAAUAUUGGUCAAUGGACGCAAGUCUGAACCAGCCAUGUCGCGUGCAGGAUGACGGCCCUAUGGGUUGUAAACUGCUUUUUUACAGGAAUAAUUGCUUUUACGUGUAGAAGUUUGAAUGUACUGUAUGAAUAAGGAUCGGCUAACUCCGUGCCAGCAGCCGCGGUAAUACGGAGGAUUCGAGCGUUAUCCGGAUUUAUUGGGUUUAAAGGGUCCGUAGGCGGUCUUUUAAGUCAGUGGUGAAAUCCCAGAGCUCAACUCUGGAACUGCCAUUGAAACUGAAGGACUUGAAUAUGGUUGAGGUAGGCGGAAUACGUUAUGUAGCGGUGAAAUGCAUAGAUAUAACGUAGAACACCAAUUGCGAAGGCAGCUUACUAAGCCAUUAUUGACGCUGAUGGACGAAAGCGUGGGGAGCGAACAGGAUUAGAUACCCUGGUAGUCCACGCCGUAAACGAUGAUUACUCGUUGUGCACGAUACACUGUGCGUGACUGAGCGAAAGCAUUAAGUAAUCCACCUGGGGAGUACGUUCGCAAGAAUGAAACUCAAAGGAAUUGACGGGGGCCCGCACAAGCGGAGGAACAUGUGGUUUAAUUCGAUGAUACGCGAGGAACCUUACCUGGACUUAAAUGUAGAUUGACCGGCUUAGAAAUAGGUCUUUCCUUCGGGACAAUUUACAAGGUGCUGCAUGGUUGUCGUCAGCUCGUGCCGUGAGGUGUCGGGUUAAGUCCCAUAACGAGCGCAACCCCUAUCGUUAGUUGCUAGCAGGUAAUGCUGAGGACUCUAGCGAGACUGCCACCGUAAGGUGAGAGGAAGGUGGGGAUGACGUCAAAUCAGCACGGCCCUUACGUCCAGGGCUACACACGUGUUACAAUGGCCAGUACAAAGGGCAGCUACCUGGUGACAGGAUGCUAAUCUCAAAAGCUGGUCUCAGUUCGGAUCGGAGUCUGCAACUCGACUCCGUGAAGUUGGAUUCGCUAGUAAUCGUAUAUCAGCAAUGAUACGGUGAAUACGUUCCCGGGCCUUGUACACACCGCCCGUCAAGCCAUGGAAGCCGAGGGUGCCUGAAGUUCGUGACCGCAAGGAUCGACCUA
rnacentral:rRNA from 1 species